GACGAACGCUGGCGGCGUGCCUAAUACAUGCAAGUUGAGCGCUUAAGGUUGGUACUUGUCCCGACUGGAUGAGCAGCGAACGGGUGAGUAACGCGAGGGGAAUCUGCCGUGGAGCGUGGGACAUCAUUUGGAAACGAAUGCUAAUACCGCAUAAAAACUUGAAACACAAGUUUUAAGUUAGAAAGAUGCAAUUGCAUCACCCAAAGAGGAUCCCGCGUUGUAUUAGCUAGUUGGUGAGGUAAAGGCUCACCAAGGCGAUGAUACAUAGCCGACCUGAGAGGGUGAUCGGCCACAUUGGGACUGAGAACCGGCUCAAACUCCUACGGGAAGCAGCAGUAGGGAAUCUUCGGCAAUGGGCGAAAGUCUGACCGAGCAACGCCGCGUGAGUGAAGAAGGUUUUCGGAUCGUAAAACUCUGUUGGUAGAGAAGAACGUUGGUUAGGGUGGAAAGCUCAUCAAGUGACGGUAACUACCCAGAAAGGGACGGCUAACUACGUG
rnacentral:rRNA from 1 species